rnacentral:rRNA from 1 species
GAUGAACGCUAGCGGCGGGCCUAACACAUGCAAGUCGAGGGAGAAGCCCUUUCGGUUGCAGCAACCGGCGCACGGGUGCGUAAGGCGUAUGCAACCUACCUUUCACACGGGGAUAGCCCGAAGAAAUUUGGAUUAAUACCCCAUAAUAGUAUUAGAUGGCAUCAUUUGAUAAUUAAAACUGCGGUGGGGAAAGAUGGGCAUGCGUCCUAUUAGCUAGUUGGAGUGGUAACGGCACUCCAAGGCUACGAUAGGUAGGGGUCAUGAGAGGGAGAUCCCCCACAAUGGUACUGAGACAGGGACCAGACUGCUACGGGACGCAGCAGUGAGGUAUAUUAGUCAAUGGUCGGAAGCCUGAACACGCCAUGCCGCGUGUAGGAGGAAUGCGUUAUGGGUUGUAAGUUGCUUUUAUAUGGGAAGAGUAAAGCGUACGUGUACGUUGAUGACGGUACCAUAUCAAUAAGCAUCGGCUAACUCCGUG